CUAUACAGCCAUUCCACCCUAAAUGCACCUUAUCUUGUCUGAUUCGGAAGCUAAGCAGGGUUGGGCAUGGUUAGUACUUGGAUGGGAGACCUUUUUUCUUGAAACUCUCCAGCCAAGC
rnacentral:rRNA from 1 species